UCCGGUUUAUCACCGGCGGUCUCCUUAGAGUCCCCGACUUUACUCGCUGGUAACUAAGGACAAGGGUUGCGCUCGUUACGGGACUUAACCCAACAUCUCACGACACGAGCUGACGACAGCCAUGCAGCACCUGUCUCACGGUUCCCGAAGGCACAACCGCAUCUCUGCAGUCUUCCGUGGAUUCAAGAGUAGGUAAGGUUCUUCGCGUAGCAUCGAAUUAAUCCACAUAAUCCACCGCUUGUGCGGGUCCCCGUCAAUUCCUUUGAGUUUUAGCCUUGCGGCCGUACUCCCCAGGCGGUCAACUUCACGCGUUAGCUUCGUUACCAAGGGAUUACUCCCCCGACAACCAGUUGACAUCGUUUAGGGCGUGGACUAC
rnacentral:misc_RNA from 1 species